UACGAAGGGGGGCUAGCGUUGCUCGGAAUUACUGGGCGUAAAGCGUGUGUAGGCGGCCGCGUAAGUCGGAUGUGAAAGCCCUGGGCUCAACCCAGGAAGUGCACUCGAUACUGCGUGGCUCGAGUACUGGAGAGGUUGGUGGAAUUCUCGGUGUAGAGGUGAAUUCGUAGAUAGUCGAGAGGAACACCGGUGGCGAAGGCGGCCAACUGGACAGAUACUGACGCUGGAGACACGAAAGCGUGGGGAGCAAACAGG
rnacentral:rRNA from 1 species